rnacentral:rRNA from 1 species
AGCGGCGGACGGGUGAGUAAUGCCUAGGAAUCUGCCUGGUAGUGGGGGAUAACGCUCGGAAACGGACGCUAAUACCGCAUACGUCCUACGGGAGAAAGCGGGGGACCUUCGGGCCUUGCGCUAUCGGAUGAGCCUAUGUCGGAUUAGCUAGUUGGUGAGGUAAUGGCUCACCAAGGCGACGAUCCGUAACUGGUCUGAGAGGAUGAUCAGUCACACUGGAACUGAGACACGGUCCAGACUCCUACGGGAGGCAGCAGUGGGGGAAUAUUGGACAAUGGGGCGAAAAGCCUGAUCCAGCCAUGCCCGCGUGUGUGAAAAAAGGUCUUCGGAUUGUAAAGCACUUUUGGUUGGGAGGAAGGGCAGUAAAUUAAUACUUUGCUGUUUUGACGUUACCUGACAGAAUAAGCACCGGCUAACUACU